AGGCUGAAGCCUCACCUGUGGAGUGGACACACUGCCCUGGACUGUUUUCCCGAUGAAGACUCCUGCUUGACUGCAAUGGGGCUUUCCAGUCAAGACUGAAGACAGGAUGAAGCUUUCUCUUUAUUGAUGAACAAACAAGAAUUUCAGAAGUUAAUACACAAGAUGAUUCUGAGCGGAUGUGGAUGGCAAAAUGGGCACAUCAGAAAUGUGGACAUCUGGAGGAAAAAGCUACUUAAAGAUUCUAACUCUAGUCUAUGCAAUGCUAACUGUUGGUAUUCUCGCUGUGCUGUAUGGUCCCUUUGGCAGAGUGCGUAACACCAGGAGUAAAAGCAACCAGAGUCAAUUCAACAAUAAUCCAGUGGGGAUGGGCUGCUAGUACACAGAAUAGGACACAAGGAACGUUUACCUGCCCUGCUGGACAAGAAUGUUCUACUGUUAAUUUGACAUCCAAAGGAAAUCUAACUAUUUGAAGGGUGAGGAGGGGAGACUUUUAUGUCCAACUACUGAAUGACAGACCAAUCAUGGUAACAAUCUAAAAUUACAUGGACAAAACAAUGUUGCAAUUGUAAAUAUGAACAGACAUAUCAAGAAAAUUAUUACUUUUGUCAGAAUGGAACUGAUAUUUAUAAUGAAUCAAUUGACAUAUGGAACAUUACUGCAUUGUUUUGUAUGAAUGCAACUCAAAUCAUAAAUAGAAAGGCAUGGGCUUCACAAAUAAAUGAAGUAUGGCAACAAACUAAGUUGUCCCGGGGCAUCUUAAUUGGGGGGAUUAGAUAGAUAUUAGUGGGUGUUAGGUGAGUUGGGGUAGUGAAAGGGUUAGGUGGCGGCAGGGAGGAUUGGGAGGAAAUAAAAUAAGAGUAGGGAGGGGCUUAAGAGGUUUAGAUAAGUGUAGGUGUAGUUGGGUAAGCAAUCACAUUUGGUGUGAACUUGCUACCCUCCCACCCUCCCCUUGUUUGGGGGUUUGAGGCAUGGGGGUUUAUCAGUGGGGGUAGGCGGAGAAGAGGGAGAGGCUUUCCCUCUUCUUUUUCCCCCUCUGGUGUAUGGAUGCUCAUUUCAAGGAUGCUUGCUGAAUGGAUGAGUAAGCUGAGGUAAGGAUGCUGCUUAACUGGUGGAAGGUAAUUCAAUGAAUGGUGUAUGAAGUGAGAUGGGACGCUGCUUCAUAAGUAAAGUAGCAAGCAGCAGUAUGGACCCUGCUUACUGAGCAGGGUGAGUAGGUACACUGCCCUGUUUAGUGUUACAAGGAUGGCACUGCUUAAUUGGUGGAAGGUAGUUCAAUGAAUGGUGUGUGACAUGAGAUGGGACGCUGCUUCAUAAGUAAAGUAAAUGAGCAGCAGUAUGGACCCUGCUUACUGAGCAGGGUGAGUAGGUACGCUGCCCUGAUUAACAUUACAAGGAUGUUUAUGCUGUGUUUAGAAGCAAUGAUAGUAUGUUCAGUUGUAAGGUGAACAAAGCUAUGUUAUGGAAGUUUUAAUAAAGGUCGUCAAAUGUCA